rnacentral:lncRNA from 1 species
CGCUGGUGAAUCGAUUGCUGCUGCCUCGGCUCGCCAGCACCAACGACUGUUGGAUGACUCUUCAUUACUACUACGCGCGCGUGCCGUCAGCGGUGGGAUAUGAUGCGAUGAAGAAAACUCGGACUACCAGCUUUAAUGCAUCGGUGCUGGAAGAUGUUGACAGCAAUGGGGACAGCAUAAAGACAUGGUGCCGAGGUGGUCAACAAAGUUGGGAAGCAAACUGUGUCAUUUGCGACGUAGUAAUUUCGUGCGCACAGCUUGGCACAUCAGCUGCCAGGAGACAUGCUUUUUCGAAAAUGCACCUGAAGUCAAGGAUGAAGUUCUGUGAUGCAGAAGGAAAGUUUGUGAAGCCAAAAUUGGCCAAACCAACUUCUUUCUCUGGAGGAGCAGCGACCACUACCAUAAGCGACAGUGUGACCCAGGUGGAGGCUUUGUUCGCUAUGUCCUUAACUGUGAAAGGAGUGCCAUUUUCAUUUGCAGGUACUGCACCUAGGAUGUUCCCUGUGAUGUUUUCAGAUUCCAAAUUUGCUGAAAAGUUCUCUUGCGGCAGGACUAAAGCGUCCUACAUCAUCUCUGAUGGACUGGGUCCGCUGUUCAGAAAAAAAGAGAUAGGGGCCAGAUGUGUACUGCUCGAUUGAAGUUGAUGAAACGCCCAAAGCAAGCCAACAUGUUAAACAACUGGACAUCCUUGUGCGAUAUUUCUCUAAAACACAACAAAAAGUUGUUGUUCAACACCUAGAGUCAUUUAACCUUGGUCGUGCGACAGCAAGUAUCUUGGUGGACUGCAUUGAAAAAGGCCUGACAGAGCUACCAAAGGAGAAGCUGCUAUGCUUCUUCAGUGAUGGCCCUAACACCAUGAAAAGCGUGAAGAAGAAACUGAAGGAGAUGCUCAACCCCAACCUUCUAGACAUCGGAGAGUGUAGUCUUCACAAAGUACAUAAUGCAUUCGGCACUGGACUGAAUUCAUUUGGAUAUGAUGCGGAGCUGCUAGUGAUGGACAUUUAUUACUUUUUUAAGCAUGCCGUUCACUCAUCACAGCUUUCAGAGAAACAGAAAGACCUUGGGAUCCCCGAGCACGUCUUUCUUCGGCAUGUCAGUAACAGGUGGCUUACAUUUCAGUCUAGCCUUGAAAGAGUGUUGCAGCAGUUUGAAGUGUUGAAAGCGUUCUUUCAAACUCAAGCCGACGCCAGGCCAACAAGCGCUGUACUGCAGAAACGACUAGCAUCUGCACUUUCAGAUAAGACGAUUCUCGCCAAGAUGCUGUUCUUACGCAACUCUGCAGAGCUCUUCUCUGAAUUUCAAACCGUUUUCCAAAAAGAAGAGCCCCUUGUUUACAUUGUACACUCGGGGUGCAUUGGGCUAGUAAAAAAAGCUGCUGAGCCGCUUUAUGAGGCAUGAGGCCUAUUGCAACUUGUCUGGCAGUGAGUUGAAACAACUUGAUGUCGCGUCACCAGAAGGGCUGAAGCAAGUUUUGAAAAUCAGAUCCGACACUGAAAAAGAAAUGCGUAAUUGGGAUCCCCAAGAGAAUAAGAGCUUCAGUACUAGUGCACAGGCAUUUUACAUUUCUACUGUGAGACAUCUAAUCAAGCGGCUUCCUCUAGAUAACAAACUGCUCUACCACUGGCGCUUUUUAGAUCCUAGAUGUUAUUUACCUGUAGAAGAGACUGUUCAGUCUAUCUAGUACGUGGCUGCAAGCGUGCCCCACAUGAUAAAGGGUGAGCAUGUGGCAUCACUUGUUGACCAGUGGCAUUGCCUUCACAGGCAGCCUAUAAGUGCAGGUGCUCAUCUCUCCGCCCCCGGCAUCGAUGGCUAUUGGGCUUCAGUGUUAGCUUCAGGAAAGUACCCUCUCGUGUCAGUGUUUGUACAAGCCAUGUUUUCCCUUCCACAUAGAAACGCCGACUGCGAACGUGGGUUUAGCGAGAAUAAGCGCAUCGUGGACAGUGCAUCGUGGAAUUUAGGCAUUGUGUCUCUGAACGGCAUUCGGCAUGUCAAGAGCUAUGUGAAGCGCUUUGCCAGUGACCCUUCAAAAGUACCAGUUACGAGGGACCUCAUUAACGCUGUGAAGCAUUCGCACAGGAAGUACACAGAACGUCUUCAACGGGAGGCCAAUGACAUGGAAAGGCACCUGUGGCCAGAAGUUCACUUCAGGAGAAAAGGGCCAAGCUGGAUGAAGAAAAACAGUGUGUAGAAAAGCGUCUAGAGUCGUCAAAAGCAAUGCUCCAGCGUGCACAAGGACUGAUCAAGAAAGGCCUCGCUGGCAAUGAUAUGGAAGAAAUUGAAAGUGGCCAGGUACUCCUGGCUGAGGCAAAUACGAGCCUCACCCAAAAUAUGCAAAUGCUGGCAAGCAUAAAUGAAAAGCUUCAAAAAAUGUGAAACAAAUGUCUGACGUCAUGAGUACAUGUAUGUUCUUCGUUCAAAUAAACGAGUUGACAGCA